UCGAAUAAAACUCGGGAGCACCAUUCUCUCUUGCUUUCGUCUCGUUUCCUCCCAUUUCCUUUUUUUCUCUCUUUUAAGUUGAACUCGCGUGUUAAGAACCUGCAGCUCAAUCCAAAGGAACUUACUCCCAAAUCCAUGUGUUUUAGUUUAGAGAUGUUUAAGAGAAACUUUAUCGACGUUUUAGUGUUUUUAACUUGGUAGGGUGAAUCCCUACAUCAAAGCUCCAAUAUAGACCUUCAAUGUCUUCACAUCCAACAAUGAACCAAUACCAGACAAAAAUCAUCCAAUUACUCUUGAACAGGGCAAAAUUAUUCCAAAACCAAACCAAAUCAGUACCAUAUUUUCGACGAAUGAGGGGGUCUACAGGCAGCGACGACGGCGAGAAAGACGGCCGAACCAAAAGGGGGUGGCGAAGAUCCUUCCGACAAAGGGAACCAGGUCGUUUUAAGGAUUUGACCCUCACCUGUAAAACCCCCCAGUCUAAUUGUGAGCUGUACAACGAUCAAUCUUCACCACACGAAUGGUAUUGUUUACGGCAGAAGAAGUGAUCUUCGGCAACAAAGGUGGUCGGCGGCGGGGUAUAAGACGAUGUCCUAUGGAGUCGGCAGAAGUUUGAAAUUGGGAAGAAAGAAUGGAGAUGAACAGGAAAGGGACGAAGGGAUGAUGACGACCUUAUACACUUUUUAUUUUAUUUGUUUAAUUUGUGUUUUUUUUUUUAUAAUUUAUAAUAAUAGAUAAAUAAUGCAAAAUAUCAAUAAUAAGGGUAAUCUUGUCAUUUUAUGUUUAUCAGGACCAAACGUGUAACAAAAACAUACAAUAGGGAUGAUCCAAGUUAAUAAAUCUUU